CGAUGAUGGUUUUUACGCAACGGGUUUUUCUGCGACGGGGAUUCCCAGACGCAAAACGUCCCCUCCAUUUAAAGAGAAAAAUAAGUCAAGCUAGAAAAUCUGGGAAAGCCUCUUUCCCGUCAAUUCAGUUAUUCCUCUACACGGGCACGGUCGGGAUCAACUGAGACUUGGGUGUGUAAAGGAUUGGAAACUGGUAGAGACCCAAGAACCUGAUGAAAUGAUUGGAACCCAAGGUCUACUUUUAACCGUUUUCGUUGCCGCGACGUUGGCAGCUAUUCCUAACCAAAUUACUGUUCAUAAUCAUGUUGACCCCUGUCCUGGAGGCAAUUACCCCACAAUCAAGACUUUCCCAGCCAAUGGAGCCCAGCAAAAUCUCAACAAAGGUCAGUCUGCUACUUACAAUGGAGGAGCAGUGAGCCCUCACGUGGGUUUUGGAAUACAAGAGAACGGGCAGUAUUGUCGCAACGGAGCAAAUCCUGCUGGCUGCUGGAAUCCAGAUAAUGCUGGUCUUCAGGUUGUAUGGAAUAGUAACAACUGCGGGGCCAUCUCCACGAAUGGUCCAUUCUACUGCGGGAACAACGCACCGGACGCUCGGGAAAUCGUCAACGUUGCCGCCUCGGGAAACUGGCCAAACUGCGUUCUGACCCUCACCCGCAAGGGUGGAGCCCGCGGAUGUCAGUACAAAUGCUAA
rnacentral:lncRNA from 1 species